ACUUCUGUUGGAUUACUUUUAUUUGUUUAUUUUUGGGCUACUGAGAAUCAAACCCUGGGGCACUCUAUCACAGAGCUACAUCCCUAGUUCUUUUGUUGUUGUUGUUUGUUUUUGGAGGACACAACAUCUUUGUUUGUAUGUGGUGCUGAGGAUUGAACCCGAGUCGCAAGCAUGCCAGGCGAGCGCGCUACCACUUGAGCCACAUCCCCAGCCCUACAUCCCUAAUUCUUUAUAUUUUCUCUUGAAACAGGAUCUCCCUAAGUUGCCCAGGUUGGUCUCCAACUUGUGAUCCUCCUGCAUCAAUCUCCCAAGUUGCUAUGAUCACAAGCACGCACCAUGGGCCUGACUUCUGUUGGAUUACUUUGAAGCAAACCCGUACAUCAGUGCAUUUUUAACAUACAAUGUUGAUACUACACUUCCCUGUUUAAAUCCAUAUUUUCAUUAAUUCCCUGUUACUUGUAAGACAAUGACCAAAACCCUUAACUGGGGCCCCAAGGGCCCUGCAUGAUCUGGCCCCAGCAACCUUGGCAGCCUCAUUGCUCACUGCUUCACUACUCACCUGUACCCUCCAAACACAAAGGCCUUGUUUAUGGACAUCAUACAUGUCCUGCACAUUUGGCCUCAGGGCCUUUGCAUGUGAUAACCCUCUACAGUGACCCCUCUCCAAUUGUCAUUUUCCAUCUGGUUAGCAUUCAUUGGCUAUCCGCUCAAAUACUGUUCUUUAGAAAAGUCUUCCUGCUUCCCAGGGUUGAGUCAGGACUCUGAUAGAAGCCCUUCUAAGACCCUGUGCUUUUCCUUCAUUGUAUAUAUUACACCAUUAUAAUUAUGCAUUGGUUUAUGUAAAUAUUUGCUUCAUGUCUGCCUCUCCCAGCAGACAUGUUGCAGAAAGUACCUUGCCUUACCUCCUAGUACACAAAACGCUUGCCCAGAUCUGAGAGAAGAGCAGGCAUUCAAUUGCUAUUUGUAGAAGGAAGGUAGAAAGGAGAGAGGCUGGCAGUUCUCUGAGGACCAAGCUCCUGCCAGCCUCUCCUGGGAGAGGAGUUUUUCUGACCACACAGGGCUGGUGGCCAUAUGUAGUUCAACCAGUUCCUGGUCUCUGCUUUCUUCCCCUCAGACAUUUGUUUUCCCUCCUGUGCUGAGAUUUUCUUCCCUCUUUGCAAAGGAGUAACUGAGGCCCAGAAAGAGAGAGUGGCUUACUCAGGGACCCUCAGCCAGUGAGAUAUCAUUCCAAGCCUGCCCUGUCCUCCACCCCUACCCCUGGGCUCUUUCAAGACCCAAGAGCAUUCAUACUUGCCUGUGGUCCCGAGGACAGCCUGGUGGUCCACAGAGCCACAGUAAUUCUGAGAUGGGUGUCCUAGGGUGGUUGGGUGGGGUAUGCUGGAUGGCAUCCCCAGUGGACAGAGCUGACUUGUCCCCAGAGUAGCCACACCCCCUGGCAGCCCUGAGUGGCGGUGUCGGCUGUCUGUGGAGGCUGAGCAGUGGAGGCUGUCUGUGGGUCUCCCCCCUCAUCAGAGUGGACACCAGGAGCACAGGGGUGCUCUGUUUCUUACUGAAUGCGAGUCUGUUUUUAGACCUGAAUGACAGGCUUCUUGUGUAGAAAUGGCCAGGCCCCAAGUGGCCUGCCAAGAAAAAGUGGUCUGUCACCAGGCCCGCGGGUGCCCACUCAGACAGACACUGCGAUGGCAGUGGGCACUGUGAGCCAGGCCAGCCACAGGCAGGGCACUCUGCAGGCCAGCUGCCUGCUUGUCGAUGUGUCUGGGCUCUGGAGGAGAUCCUGGCUCUCCCCCCGAGGAAAGCCUCCCGCUUUCAGCUGUUUGUCCCUGUCUGUCUCCCUGGUGACUGUGCUCACUCUGCAGGCCUUUGAGCUACUGGCAGGAGGGAGAGGCAGCAAUUGCUGGACUCAAACCUCUGGAGGCAGGAGGAGAAGGGAGGGAUCCUGAGCAUGGCUGGGCCUGAGCCAUGCGGGUGCCUCCGGGCCCAAGGGGUGGGAAGCAGCCCCUGGUGUGACAGGUAUGAAGGGCCUUCUCCCGCUGGUUGCUGCUUCCGUGGGUUGCAGUCUCCAGGGAAUGCAGGGCAUGUGUGGAGUUUUAUAGGUACAGUUGGGACCCAGGGGGCCCUGGUCCUCGCUUCCCACAGGGAGAUGCACCUCUAGGUAUCUUUCCAGGAAUGGGAGGCUCUUGGCUCUCAGUGGUGCUGGUGGGAUGCGCAGCUAAGUGGGCAGGGUGAAGCUCAUGGUCCACCCUGGACUGGACUGUGACCUCUCUCGGAUCCUCACUGCAGUCCUGGAGAUCUGUAGGUCAGAUGUGGGAGCUCCCUCCCCAGCCCCAUCUUACAGAGACACAGACUCAGAGUCAGGGGAGUUAGAAGCAAACCUGAGUGAGUCGCUCCCACUCCAGGUCUUGUGUCCGUGUCACGAGGGCCCAUUGCUUCUAAACAAAUGACACAGAGGAGCUUUUCAGCUGGGAGAGUUUCAGUCAAUAAGUGGUUCUUGAGCACUUACUGAAUGCCUGGUGCUGUGCGAGGCUGUGGGGAAUGAGAGGCAAGUGGGACAUAAUCUGGUGGGGAUACAGAGUUAGAGUAGGUAGUGUAGACCCGAGAUGUGUCUGAGCAGAUAGUGUGUGGACUGGGAGGGAGGGCUCAAGUCUCAGGAAAGAGGGGUCUUCUCUCUAGAGAUUCAGGUCCUGCUUCAGGGAGGAGGUUUUGGGGUUGAGGACAGGGUUUCCGUCUUGGGCAAGAACAACUAGCUCUACAGAGCCUGAGCACUUCAGCACCCCACCCCCAGAAUUCCAUCCCCACAUGGAGCUGGGCCUCUCUAGUGUGCUUUGAGAACCCGGACCUGAGUAAGGAGGUCAAGGAGCAGGGAAAAGGGGGAUUGAGCCCAUUAUCUAGGGGUAGUCUAGUCAUCCAAGUGGCAAAUGUCUGGGUGGACCAGAUCUGGCUCUAGCAAGAAACCCACCAAGGGUAGGAGGUGAGAUCAGCUUUGCUCUCAGCUCCUCCAGCAUCCACUAGACAGGAAGACCCAAAGGUUUCUGAGACACCUGUAGGGAGGAGCUCUUGUUAGCACCAAAGCUCAAAGGGAUCCUUGUUUAGCCUGAAUCCACUUCCACCAAGGACUGGGCCAACCCACUCCCUCUCCUGAGCCAUUCUCUCUCCCAGUUUGUUUGAUUCUUUGAGUAGAGAAGACUGGGAGUGCGGGGAGUUCUGAUCUAGGGAACCCCAAACCCCAGAAGGGCCCCUGCAUGGUCAUCUCAGCCCAAGAGACAUCCCUUUUGUCUGGAGUCUUUGGGGAGAGUGAGGGCUUUGCCAGGGAAAGUCACAGGAAGGGUACAAUUCCAGGUCCCUCAAAUCGUCCAGCCUGUGCUACAGUGGAAAGAGUACUUUCUGCCAGACUGGAAUAUGGAUCAUCGCUCCGCACGUUCCCAGGUGUGUGCUCAGGAGCAAGGUGCUUUUCCUCUUGGGGCCUGAUUUUCCAUCUGUAUAAUAGGAUGAUGCCAUCUCCCUUCAGAAUGAGAGCUGAACUGAGGAUAGAGGGAUUCAUGAGCUACAUCUCUUCACCUUCUCUCUAUGGGCCACCCCAGGAAGAAACAUGGCUUCCUGGGCUAAUGGGGCAUGUCUUGAUCUGAAUACUUUCCUGAGUUUUCUGCUUGUCCUGGCCCUCAAGGCUCAUGGUGGGUAUGAACUUUUAUAAUUUAUUUAUUUAUUUGUUGCUGGGAAUGGAACCCAAGGCCUUGUGCAUGCCAGGCAAGUGCUUUUCUGCUAAGCCACACCCCCAGCCCUCAUGAUGGCUAUGGCUAUGGCUGUGGCCCAGGCUUGGGUGUCAGACAGACCUCCUUGGAGCCCAAGCCUGUAUGGAUGAGUCACAGAGCCCCUUCUGCCUCCAUUUUCCACCAUGGAGUGUGGGUGGUACCACUUGCUCUAUGUUAGUUGCCUAAAUGAUGUCAUCUACAGUGUGCCCUAGUUUGCAGUCUUUGGGUAAACCAGGCAAGGAGGUUUCUUGUUGGCUGCAAGUGCUGAGCACUGGAAGAAGAAUUAGAAGUUAAUGGGCAGCCAAGGAAAGCAGACCUCCUUUGCUGUCUCCCAGACUCUGGGCUUGGACUGUGGCCCCCUGUCUUUAUCUGUACCUUUCUCAUUACCUCUUGCCUCUGGGUGCUCCCAGAGGUUCUGCUCCAGAUCCACAAAGCUAGGUCCCCUGCCGUGCUCUCUCCUACCUGUUAGUUCUGGCUGCACAUCUCUACAUCUUGUGUUUCCCAGUUAGGAUUCAUUAGAAAGGGAAUUUGAUGGGUCAGCUCCUCUCACAGGAGGCUGCUGGUCAGCAUGCAUAUGACUUGGUUUGGGUCUGCAACACACCUGUGGUUCUGUCCACUGUGGUCAGGGUCACUUAUUAGGUCUUGUGAAAAGGGGUCUCUGGCCCUCCACAUACGUCCUUCAACUCAAAGCUGCUCCAGGAAUGAAGGGAAACAAAUUAAUAUUCCAGUCUAGGUGUCCUCAGGCCCCUUCCUAAGAAGUUAGGUUUGUGACUACACAAAGCACCUGCCCCUUCCUGAGCCCUUUGCAGUGGGAUCUGAGCAGAAUGUCUGCAUUGG
rnacentral:lncRNA from 1 species